UCUCGAUACCGUAAAAGUUAACACAAAUUUGUAUGGAGUUGGAACGUUUGGUUACGUUUCCUGCUAGGGGCGCUGUUCCAACUGCAUACAAAUUUGUGUUAACUUUUACGUUAUCGA
rnacentral:pre_miRNA from 9 species